rnacentral:snRNA from 1 species
AUGCUUGCUUCAGCAGCACAUGUACUAAAAUUGGAACAAUACGGAGAAGAUUAGCAUGGCCCCUGCGCAAGGGUGACACGCAAAUUCGUGAAGCAUUCCAUAUUUUU